rnacentral:rRNA from 1 species
AAUUAAUAAUCUUGUUUUGUUGAGUGAAGUCUUAUAAAUUAUUUUAAUUAAAUAAAUUAAUGUUGUUGUAAAAUAUAUUGAUUAAAUUAUAUUUACUAUAGUGAAUUAGUAUUGUAGGGGAAUGGGUGAAAUAAUUUAAUUGAUAUAAGUAAGGAAAGGUAUUAUUAUUAAUGUAUCUUGUGUUUCAGAAUAUAUUAAAGUGAAUUAUUUAAUUUUUUUUCUCGAAUUAAAAAGAUUUAAUUAAAUAAGUUAGUUGUUGUAAAAUAAACAUUAAGAAUUUUUGAAUUGGUAAUGAUAUGUUAAUCGUUUUUUAAGAUAUCUAGUUUUUUAAUAAAUGAAUUUAAUUCAUGAAAUAUAAGUUAUUUUAAAACUUUUAUUUUAAAGUAUUUUAUAUUUAAAAUUUCAAAGGGGAUUAGCUUUUUGAAAUAAUAAUUAUAAUGUAAAUAUGUAAAAAGAGGAUUUUAUGAAUUUAGAAUUUGUUCUUGAUUAAAGAAUGUUAAAAUUUGAUUCUGAAUUUAUUAGAUUUAUAAAUGUAUUUAAUUUAUAUAUUAAAAUAUUGAUUUUAAUUUAAAUUUUUUAAUAAAUAUGAUUUAAUUAGUAAAUUUGAAGUAUUAUAUUGUUAUUGAUUUAAUAAUGUAUUAAUAUAAAGAAUUAGGCAAAAUAUUCACUCACCUGUUUAUUAAAAACAUGGUUUCUUGAUAAGUUAUAGGAAAUUUAAUCUGCCCACUGAAGAAAUUUUGAAGGGCCGCAGUAUUUUGACUGUGCAAAGGUAGCAUAAUAAUUAGUCUUUUAAUUAAAGGCUGGAAUGAAUGAUUGGAUGAGGUGAUAACUGUUUUAUAUUAAAGUGGAAUUGAAUUUAGGUUUUAAGUAAAAAAACUUAAAUGAUAUUAAGGGACGAGAAGACCCUAUAGAGUUUAAUAAAUAUCUUUUUUUAUUAAGUUUAAUGGAAAUUUUUAAUUAUUAUUAGAGUUUAUUUAAUUGGGGCGAUUAAAAGAUAAAUGAAACUCUUUUUUAAUAUAAAUAUUAAUAGAUAAAUAAAAGAUCCAUAAAUUAUGAUUAUAAGAUUAAAUUACCUUAGGGAUAACAGCAUAAUAUUUUUUAAGAGUUCAAAUCGAAAAAAAUGAUUAUGACCUCGAUGUUGGAUUAAGAUAAAUAUUGGGUGUAGAUGUUCAAUUAUUUGGUCUGUUCGACCAUUAAAAUCUUACAUGAUCUGAGUUUAAACCGGUGUAAACCAGGUUGGUUUCUAUCUUUAAUUUUAUGAAAUGUUUUAGUACGAGAGGACCAAAUAUUUAAAAUAAUUUUAGUUGAAAUGAAUAUUAUAAAUU